rnacentral:rRNA from 1 species
UACGGAAGGGGCAAGCGUUGUUCGGAAUCAUUGGGCGUAAAGGGCGCGUAGGUGGUUCUGUAUGUCUACCGUGAAAGCGUACGGCUCAACCGUAUUUUGUCGGUAGAAACUGCAGGACUUGAGGCUGGGAGGGGCUGGUGGAAUUCCCUGUGCAGCGGUGAAAUGCGUAGAGAUGGGGGAGAACACUCGUGGCGAAGGCGGCCAGCUAGACCAGUUCUGACACUGAGGCGCGACAGCGUGGGGAGCAAACAGG